rnacentral:lncRNA from 10 species
GUUUCUAUUCUAGACCAUGCGGGAGGAUAGGAGCAUAUGGACAGUAAACAAGGCGACUUCUAGGCAGCCCCCAGACAGGCCGGCCCUGGGUAGCAGGAACUCGUUCUGCCCCAGCUGAGGUUCUGGGCCUCAUCACUAAUGACCCACAGCAGCCAAGGUCAGCCCUCGGGAAGAUGGAAAAUGAAUGAAGGGCAGCUCUGCCCAAAGCGGCGGACCAGGAAUCCAGUCCUUCCAUGAGACCUCGGUACACACAGAACUCCUCCUACCACGUGCAACCUUAUUCUCGGCUGAGCAACUCAUAAAUCGCAUAACAAAAACAGUGAUUGAUGCGGACUGUGUUUAGUGC